ACGACCUUACUUGAGCAGGAUCUGUUCUAUAGGCUCGUACAACCGUAUCCUUGAUUGCAAAAGAGAUGGGCAACUCAAUCUGGUGGAUGACUCGAGACCUCAUGGCUAGAGCGUGAUUAAUAGUGAGGAUCCUUCGGAGUCCUUGCUUUAGAGGAUCGUUCUCAGGCGAUAUCGAUCGCCUGGGAUGGCCUUGAGGUUGUCUGACAGAGU